CCCGUAAUGUACCAACUUUAAAUGUGACUAUUGAAAAUGUACCCGAAAUGUACCCAUUUAAAUAAACCUUGUAAUUUCACAACAGAUACAAAUAAUAUGAAAAUAAACAUUAAACAAUUUCACAACUGAUUUUGAAAUAAGAAAGCUUUUAUAGUCAAUUGUACCAGCAUUAUGUACCCAACUUCAAUCUGGCAUGUUUUUUUUUUAUUGAUGUAUGUAUGUUGUAGACAUUUUUUGUUUAAAAAAAAUAAAAUAUAUAUAUAUGAAAUAGUGCAAAUCCUGUUGAUGUUAAUGAAUUUUAAUUUAUCUAUAAAAAGGUUUUUUUUGUUCUGCCAUUAAGGUAGCUAUAGUAUUAAAGAAAAUCUGAAGGAUUACAUGAAGGGAUCCAUCCCUAAACCUCUAAAUGGAAAGCUAUUUUCCAUUUUUAAAAACAUAACAAUCAAAAAUAAAUAAUUGUAGAGACCUAGUAGUAAGAUACUCUUUUGAACUUGAUAAUGCUACAUGAUUGUUAGUCUGCAGCAAUUUCAGAAGAAAAAAUUAUAUAUAUGUGUGUGUGUGGUAAACAAUCUGUAUAUAUCAUAAUACAUACAUAUAUAGAUCUAUCUGUAUAUGAUUUUUUUUUUUUUUUUAUUUAUUUGGGGUGUGUGUGUGUUUUUUUUUUUAAUAUUGAUAUACACUGUAUGUCAAAAGAUGUCCCUGCAGAAGGAAACUAUUGAAGAUCAUCAUAUUAUUUUUAUAAACUAGUUAACUUAUUAAUUAAUUAACCAAUCAAUUCAGAGCGGGUCUUCACAGUACUUGGCUCUAACAACUGUAAAUUGAGAUCGGGUUCCUGAUAAAAAGCAUCGGGUGUGCAACUCCGAGUUCCCGCGCUUAGUAAGCAUGCAGACGCCAUGUUUAUGAUGUUGUGACAUACCGUAAACUUUAUGAACAGACAAAGAAUAGCCUUCAACAGGGACCCGAGGGAUUUUGUGGUGUUAUCCUGAAGAGACUCCCAACCAUUAAAAUAUAAUUCAUGAUAGAUACAGAAUUUAUAUGGUGUGACCACUGACCAGACUGGUUUUAAUAUGCCAUUCUGAGAAUUACACUAUGCAGACCAAAAUGAGUUUACUCUGAAUGACACUUCAGUUCAUGCACAUUUUAGAAUGUACGUCAUCAAUGUUCUCCCAAAGGAAAGUGAGCAAAAACUUAUCCAGAGAAUCUACAGCACAUUUUUGUGAAACUUUUUAAAAUGCACAGGAGAAAUAGGAUUACGAAGAAGAGAAGCUUUGUCAUAAUUUUUUAUAGUAUGAAUUAAAUGCAAUUUCUCAUA